UGAAUUAUUGGGAUGAUUUGGCUGCAAUAUAUUGUUCCAUUGCUUCUAUGGACUUGUUGUUAUUCCCAAAAUGCAUGUGAAGAUCCACCUGGAAUUGAUUUUGGAGAGAUUAUAAAUGGUGAAAGAGCUGAGUAUCAAAAUGAUGAUAGAGUGCAAUAUGGAUGCUUCCCUGGAUAUGCCUUAGAGGGGCACGCAUGGAUAACAUGCAAAGGACCACAGUGGACCCCUACACCAAAGUGCUUGGCUCCUUGUACUAUCAGAAAACAGCAGCUGGAAACCAAAAAUCUAUUUUUGUCUGGUAGCCAAAGAUAUGCACUUGCUGUUCCAAAUAAUCAGACCCUGAAAUUCCUGUGCAUGGAAGGUUAUGUCCUCUCAACUCCUUCCAUCAGGAAAUGUAUUGAUGGGCACAUGGAUUUGCCAUCCUGUA